rnacentral:rRNA from 1 species
GACGAACGCUGGCGGCGUGCUUAACACAUGCAAGUCGAACGAAGUGGCGAACGGGUGAGUAAAACGAGGGUAACCUGCCCUCCUUUUUGGGAUAAGCCUUGGAAACGGAGUCUAAUACCGAAUAAAGGGGGAUGGGAUGGCGGCCUAUCAGGUUGUUGGUGGGGUGAUGGCCUACCAAGGCGGUGACGGGUAGCAGGCCUGAAAGGGUGACCGGCCACUUUGGGACUGAGCUGCGGCCCAGGCUCCUACGGGGUGCAGCAGUUGGGGAUAUUGCACAAUGUGUGAAAGCCUGAUGCAGCGACGCCGCGUGGGGGUUGAGGGCUUUCGGGUUGUAAUCCUCUUUCGCUAUCGAGCGGGUAUGUGGAGAAGAAGCGCCGGCUAACUACGUGCCAGCAGCCGCGGUAAUAC